rnacentral:tRNA from 1 species
GGGGGUGUAGUUCAACUGGUGGAGUGCUUGCCUAGCAAGCAUGAAGGUUUGGGUUUGAUUCCCAGCACCCCAU